CUUUUGUCUAUUUUUUUAUUGCCGAACUACUCAGUAACUGCUGAAAGAAAGAAACCUAGGGAGAAAGAAAGCAAGUUAGAGUGCAGAUUAGCAAAAUCUGGAAGUCAAGUGUACAGCUUUACUUUUCGUUCCUCUGUGCAAGCUCAUCGUGGUCACACCACCACCGCUCCCCUCACAGAUGAAUAGAGAGCUGAUUGUGAUAUGUUUCAUACUCCGAACAGUGUGUGAAAACCUCUGAGUGUGGUAUCUUUUGUAUUAUUAUGCAGAAAACACAUUUUUGAAUAGCUGUUGUGUUUCGAGGACAGGGAUAAGUAAAACUAUUUUAC
rnacentral:lncRNA from 1 species